rnacentral:rRNA from 1 species
UACGUAGGGGGCUAGCGUUGUCCGGAUUUAUUGGGCGUAAAGAGCGUGUAGGCGGCCAGGUAGGUCCGCUGUGAAAGUCCGAGGCUCAACCUCGGAAUGUCGGCGGAAACCCUCUGGCUAGAGUCCGGAAGAGGAGAGUGGAAUUCCCGGUGUAGCGGUGAAAUGCGCAGAUAUCGGGAAGAACACCAAUGGCGAAGGCAGCUCGCUGGGACGGUACUGACGCUGAGACGCGAAAGCGUGGGGAGCAAACAGG